CCUACGGGAGGCAGCAGUGGGGAAUAUUGGACAAUGGGCGAAAGCCUGAUCCAGCCAUGCCGCGUGUGUGAAGAAGGCCUUCGGGUUGUAAAGCACUUUCAGUGGGGAAGAAAGCCUUGGGGCUAAUACCCUCGAGGAAGGACAUCACCCACAGAAGAAGCACCGGCUAACUCCGUGCCAGCAGCCGCGGUAAUACGGAGGGUGCGAGCGUUAAUCGGAAUUACUGGGCGUAAGGCGCGCGUAGGCGGUCUGAUAAGCCGGUUGUGAAAGCCCCGGGCUCAACCUGGGAACGGCAUCCGGAACUGUCAGGCUAGAGUGCAGGAGAGGAAGGUAGAAUUCCCGGUGUAGCGGUGAAAUGCGUAGAGAUCGGGAGGAAUACCAGUGGCGAAGGCGGCCUUCUGGACUGACACUGACGCUGAGGUGCGAAAGCGUGGGUAGCAAACAGGAUUAGAUACCCGAGUAGUC
rnacentral:rRNA from 1 species